GACACGACUCUCGGCAACGGAUAUCUCGGCUCUCGCAUCGAUGAAGAACGUAGCAAAAUGCGAUACCUGGUGUGAAUUGCAGAAUCCCGCGAACCAUCGAGUCUUUGAACGCAAGUUGCGCCCGAGGCCACCCGGUCGAGGGCACGCCUGCCUGGGCGUCACGC
rnacentral:rRNA from 1 species